AGUGAACGCUGGCGGUAGGCCUAACACAUGCAAGUCGAACGGCAGCACAGUAAGAGCUUGCUCUUACGGGUGGCGAGUGGCGGACGGGUGAGGAAUACAUCGGAAUCUACUUUUUCGUGGGGGAUAACGUAGGGAAACUUACGCUAAUACCGCAUACGACCUACGGGUGAAAGCAGGGGAUCUUCGGACCUUGCGCGAUUGAAUGAGCCGAUGUCGGAUUAGCUAGUUGGCGGGGUAAAGGCCCACCAAGGCGACGAUCCGUAGCUGGUCUGAGAGGAUGAUCAGCCACACUGGAACUGAGACACGGUCCAGACACCUACGGGAGGCAGCAGUGGGGAAUAUUGGACAAUGGGCGCAAGCCUGAUCCAGCCAUACCGCGUGGGUGAAGAAGGCCUUCGGGUUGUAAAGCCCUUUUGUUGGGAAAGAAAAGCAGCAGGUUAAGACCCCGCUGUUCUGACGGGACCCAAAGAAUAAGCACCGGCUAACUUCGU
rnacentral:rRNA from 1 species